rnacentral:lncRNA from 1 species
UUCUGUUUCUUCAACAAAUUCGCAAACCCAAUAUGUAAAGCUUUAAUUGUUACGUCUUCUCUUUGUUUCCUCUUUUGUUUAUUCGUCUAACUCUGCUACUGUGCUUUAAUUUCAGAGUUUAUGAACUUAAGCAAGAUGAAGAUAAGAGUUGUUCAGCUCUUUGAACUUCAGCAAGACAAAGACUUCAAAGCAUCAUUUUUUGUCUUAUCAUCUAUAGUAAUAUAAUUGGUAAGCUUAUUAGUUCUAAUUAAUUUAAUAGCAGAACCAUUUGGUAGAAAGCGUAGCUAAGGAAGCGAAGAUCGUAGGUGUUGAUCCAGCAUAUGAUCUGGCUGUUCUUAAGCUGUUAAAUCAACCUAUUACUUAUUGUUGUUGCCAAUUGUCAUUUUGUUACUAAUUUAUUCUCUAUACUGGUCAGCUUUAUACUGACAAUUCUAAUUUCUCCAUCAAAAAGAUUUUAUAUAUUGGUCAGUGGAAGUAAACUAUGACAAAUAUGAUAUUAACUAAUCCUUCCAUUCUAUAUUAUAUUAUAGACACUUUUUGAGUGGGAAUGGAAGUUAAGAUAUUAAUUUGGUUUAUACAUUGUAUUAGUGA